UAUAACACAACCCUAUCUAAAAAAUAUGGUGAUGAUACGACUCAACAUAAUGUGAAUGAUCCUGAAUUGUGGACCCAAACACAAUUGCUUAGGAAAGGCGGGAAACAAAAAGGUCCUAUCUAUGGGGCAGGAUACUCAGAUCUUCACUUUCUGAUGACGGGUGCAUAUUCUUAUGAGUCAACUUCAGCUUCUGCUGACUUUGCAAAGUCACAACAGGAGGUAAAUGAGUUGCGACAAAAAAUGUCAAACAUGGAACAAGCCAUGGAAGAAAAGCAAAGUGAAAUGAAUUUGCAAAUGCAACAAAUGCGAAAUGAAAUGGAAUUGCAAGUGCAACGACAAUUGGA